rnacentral:tRNA from 1 species
CAGAGAAUAGUUUAAUUCAGAAUCCUAGCUUUGGGAGUUAGGGGUAGGAGUUAGAAUCUCCUUUUUCUGA